UCAUCUUUUAUAUUAUAUUUGCAUAGAAUGAUAAAGUAGGUACCAUGUAGGUUAAUUUAUUUAAUAUUGAUCCUUUGUAAUAAGUUGAAUGCAUCAUCACUUUAAAGAGCUUUAUAUUUCAUUCGACCCAAAAGAACUUAAAAAAAUAAGGUAAUGUUUUUUGGUACUUAGAAAUUUGGGAAGUAGUGCCCUAACAUGCUGGGUUGCGAUUUCCCGUUUGUCUAAAUGCCUAAAAUAUCAUUCUAAAAUAAGUUUUGAAAAUCACAAGAUGAUUUUAGUUACAAAAGUUUAAAAAUAUCGUG
rnacentral:lncRNA from 1 species